GAAAGUCUGACGGAGCAACGCCGCGUGAGUGANGAAGGCUUUCGGGUCGUAAAACUCUGUUGUUAGGGAAGAACAAGUACGAGAGUAACUGCUCGUACCUUGACGGUACCUAACCAGAAAGCCACGGCUAACUACGUGCCAGCAGCCGCGGUAAUACGUAGGUGGCAAGCGUUAUCCGGA
rnacentral:rRNA from 1 species